rnacentral:rRNA from 1 species
AGGGCGUACUAAUCUGCGAUAAGCGCCGGUAAGGUGAUAUGAACCGUUAUAACCGGCGAUACCCGAAUGGGGAAACCCAGUGUGAUUCGUCACACUAUCAUUAACUGAAUCCAUAGGUUAAUGAGGCGAACCGGGGGAACUGAAACAUCUAAGUACCCCGAGGAAAAGAAAUCAACCGAGAUUCCCCCAGUAGCGGCGAGCGAACGGGGAGGAGCCCAGAGCCUGAAUCAGCAUGUGUGUUAGUGGAAGCGUCUGGAAAGGCGCGCGAUACAGGGUGACAGCCCCGUACACAAAAGCGCAUGUGCUGUGAGCUCGAUGAGUAGGGCGGGACACGUGGUAUCCUGUCUGAAUAUGGGGGGACCAUCCUCCAAGGCUAAAUACUCCUGACUGACCGAUAGUGAACCAGUACCGUGAGGGAAAGGCGAAAAGAACCCCGGCGAGGGGAGUGAAAAAGAACCUGAAACCGU